GACGAACGCUGGCGGCGUGCUUAACACAUGCAAGUCGAGCGGUAAGGCCCUUUCGGGGGUACACGAGCGGCGAACGGGUGAGUAACACGUGGGUGACCUGCCCUCAGCUCUGGGAUAAGCCUGGGAAACCGGGUCCAAUACUGGAUAUGACUCCAUGACGCAUGUUGUGGGGUGGAAAGCCUUGUGCGGCUGAGGAUGGGCCCGCGGCCUAUCAGCUUGUUGGUGGGGUGAUGGCCUACCAAGGCGACGACGGGUAGCCGGCCUGAGAGGGCGACCGGGCCACACUGGGACUGAGACACGGCCCAGACUCCUACGGGAGGCAGCAGUGGGGAAUCUUGCGCAAUGGGCGAAAGCCUGACGCAGCGACGCCGCGUGAGAGAUGACGGCCUGGU
rnacentral:rRNA from 1 species